GAUCUGCUUCCCGCUUGCCUCUCAUUAGUUUCUUUGUUAGGAAUCCAGGUUGUAUUUUAGUAUUUGACAUUUAACCUUGAUACCUUAGAAAGGAGCUAAUGAGAGGCAAGUGAGAGGCAGGUC
rnacentral:miRNA from 1 species